UAAGUCCCGCAACGAGCGCAACCCUUAUCCUUGUUUGCCAGCGAGUAAUGUCGGGAACUCCAGGGAGACUGCCGGUGAUAAACCGGAGGAAGGUGGGGACGACGUCAAGUCAUCAUGGCCCUUACGAGUAGGGCUACACACGUGCUACAAUGGCGCAUACAGAGGGCGGCCAACUUGCGARAGUGAGCGAAUCCCAAAAAGUGCGUCGUAGUCCGGAUUGGAGUCUGCAACUCGACUCCAUGAAGUCGGAAUCGCUAGUAAUCGUGGAUCAGAAUGCCACGGUGAAUACGUUCCCGGGCCUUGUACACACCGCCCGUCACACCAUGGGAGUGGGCUGCAAAAGAAGUAGGUAGUUUAACCU
rnacentral:rRNA from 1 species